rnacentral:rRNA from 1 species
UACAGAGGGGGCAAGCGUUGUUCGGAAUUACUGGGCGUAAAGGGCGCGUAGGCGGCCUUCUAAGUCGAAACGUGAAAUCCCGUGGGCCUCAACCCCAGGAACUGCGUCCGAUACUGGAAGGCUUGAAUCCGGGAGAGGGAUGCGGAAUUCCCGGUGAUAGCGGUGGAAUGCGUAGAGAUCGGGAAGAACAUCGGUGGCGAAGGCGGCCUGCUGGGCUGUUGCUGACGCUGAGGCGCGACAGCGUGGGGAGCAAACAGG